GUCACCCGCCGCUUUGCACCCUAGCGCCGCCGCACGCCACGGAUUCCUGCGAAUCGAUCGUCCCGCUCCCGUCGGCGUCGAACCUGCUGAACAGCGUAGAGGCUCGCGAUCUCGUUCGCCGACUACAUCUCGAACUGCGUCGACGACAGCUUGCCGGAGCGCCUCUGCAGCUCGUCGCGUGACAGCACGCCGUUUCCGUCGGCGUCGAGCGUCUUUCUGCUGAAACUGUUGUUAAAAUACAGAGGAAUGAUGAUUGUUGAUCCUCUCUUCCUAUUCUUUUCGCUUAUCAGCAUUUGCAAUUGAGGGCCAAGUCAAAUAUAAAGGCAAAUGGUUUUCAUCACUACGAGAUUUGACAAGAAAAUUGAAGGAAUAGUUGAACUAGAUGUCAAGAUGCAGUUAACCAAUGCGUUGGAUUACUUUUCGUCAACCACUACAAAAAAAAACAAUUGAUUACCGACGGCGUCUGCCGUCGGCGUCGGUAAUUUCGAGGCGGCCACCGAAAAACGGACUACUGGCGGCGUGAUUCCUCAUUGGUAACACGAUUACUGGCGGCAAACAAAUGCCGUCGUUGGGCCGCCGGUAAUUACCGGCGGGAGCUCCGCCGCCGGUAAUUCCGCCGAUAUUUCGGCGUUUUUUUGUAGUGAACGAAGCUUUGUAGAAAUAAUUAGAAGUGUUUGAUCAAUUGUGUACCGUUAUUAUGUAAUUUUUUUUUGUUAUUGUGACAUAAAUAAUGUGUACUUUGAGUAAAUGUUUUUAUAUUAUCAUGUUAUAUUUUAA